CCUCCUAUAGUCUAGUGGAAGGACCACGGGUCUUGAUCCCGUUAGCCGGCGAUCGAAACGCCGUAGGAGGU
rnacentral:tRNA from 2 species